UACAGAGGGUGCUAGCGUUGUUCGGAAUCAUUGGGCGUAAAGGGCGUGUAGGCGGUUUGCUAAGUCAUGUGUGAAAUCCCUCGGCUUAACCGGGGAACGACGCAUGAAACUGGCAAGCUAGAGUACCAAAGAGGGGGGUGGAAUUCCCGGGUGUAGCGGUGAAAUGCGUAGAUAUCGGGAGGAACACCUGUGGCGAAGACGGCCCCCUGGUUGGAUACUGACGCCUGAUACGCGAAAGCGUGGGGAGCAAACAGG
rnacentral:rRNA from 1 species